rnacentral:lncRNA from 1 species
ACUAACCUAACUUAAGCCUUUUCUUUUAUUUAGAAAAGCAUUAAAUAAUUUCUAAUCUUAAAACCUAAUUCCUAUGGAUUAAUAAGCAUUUUGUGAACAAUAAAACAUUAUUCAAAAUUUUAUACAUUUUAUAAAGGUUAAGUAUUUAUUUAAAUACCUUAAAUAAAGGUACUAAAUAAAUACCUAAAUUUUAUUAUCUUAUCCUAGGGUUUAAAAAUUUUAAUGCAUAAAGUAAAAUAAAAUACACCUAAUAAAAUUGGUUUCACUAAUUUUGGAUAUUUCUACAAUUUAAAAUAAAUUAAAUAUGAAAAUAGAAUUUAAAUCUAAUUUCUAAAACUCUAAAUUAGUUUUUACCGGAAAACCCCCUUGGAACUCCUUUACUCACUCACCCCUGUGACAUCCUGGCCCAAGGCUUAAUAGGAUUGAUAGAAUACUCGUACCAACAAGUUGCAACUUCUUUUCCGGAAGCUCAUCCUCAAAGAACUCCGGGGUUAAGCGUGCUUGGCCCGGAGCAAUUUCGGGAUGGGUGACCGACCGGGAAGUUCUUUCCGGGUGCGCACGAGUGAGGACAAAGUGCGCAGAAAAAACUUGUGUUGGUCUGUGAGGGAGUAAGCGGGCCCGGCCCCGGGGGGGCGGGACGCCACAACACCCGCCCUAUCCUUUAUCACUAACACGCGGGCACAUUGUUCCAUCUUUGAGCUCCAAUUUGAAUAUCGAAACUUAAUUUUGUUUGUCCAACAACUACUGAAACUUGUUAACCUCAUAAUAGAGAUCCCAUUUUGCAUGAUCUUAUCCAACCUCUACAUAUAGAAAUCUUCAAAAACGCGGUCCAAAGUGGGCCACUUAGCACUGAUUUCAG